UACGAAGGGGCUAGCGUUGCUCGGAAUCACUGGGCGUAAAGGGUGCGUAGGCGGGUCUUUAAGUCAGGGGUGAAAUCCUGGAGCUCAACUCCAGAACUGCCUUUGAUACUGAGGAUCUUGAGUUCGGGAGAGGUGAGUGGAACUGCGGAGUGUAGAGGUGAAAUUCGUAGAUAUUCGCAAGAACACCAGUGGCGAAGGCGGCUCACUGGCCCGAUACUGACGCUGAGGCACGAAAAGCGUGGGGAGCAAACAGG
rnacentral:rRNA from 1 species